rfam:Shinella sp. DD12 SHLA_42c, whole genome shotgun sequence.
CGUCAAGAGUCUUUGGCACCGUUUCGGUGAUCGAAUUUCUUUUGCCUUCUGAGAGGUAGAAGGUGAUG